UUGAAUCACCUGAUUCCCGAAAAAGUAAGAUGACUCUGGAAUGCUUUGGAAUCCAAAGCACGUUAAGCCGUUGGUCCUGGCUAUUAGCGAUAAAAACGCCUCCACCAACCCGCAGUGGAGCAGCGUGAUGGAGUAUGCUUCAUACCUCCUCCGGUUGAUUGAGGGGAGGCCUGAGCCAUAAAAAUUAAAAAAAUAUAUAUAAAGCCAAUUACAACAUACAUAAACUCACGCCUAUUUCCCACCGGGACAUUGGGUACAUUUACUUCUGGUACUUUACCUGCACAUUUGGUGGCAACCUUGCUGAGCGGAUAAUAGUACAACUUUUACUAAACUUUCAUUACAAGGAGUGAUCUUUUCUACUGACAUUCAUAAUUAAUAAUUACGUUUAUAAAUCAAAUUAUACAACCAUUAAAGAGUGAAUAAAUGUAUCGCAGUUUUUAUAUACUUAGUGAUAUUAUUAUUGUCCUAGUUCACCUAAAGGGUUUAGUUUCUUUAGAUCCGUUUUAUAACACGUUUUAUGACAUCGUAACGAAAACUUUCAGGGAUGAUUCAGACCAUGAUUCUAGGUUGAUAUCAAGUGGAAUUUGCCGUUGCAAAAAUAUGGAACUGAAAAUAACUGAAAAAAAAAACUAAAAUUUUCAUGAAUUUUCCGACAGAAAAUUCCACUUGAUAUAAACUCAGAAUCAUGGUCUGAAUCAUCCUCUUCAGUGUUCGUACCGGUGUCACUAAUAGUCAUACGUACGUGUGUGGCUACCUGUAUGUAAUUGUACGGGGUGUAAGUGACAUCGUAACAAAUACCGAGGGGAAUGAUUCAUCUCAUUAUUCUAAGUUAAUAUCAUGUGGAAUUUUCCAUUGCAAAAAUAUAAAUUAAAAAUAAUUUAAAAAAUAUACGCAAGUAAACGGAAUACUCUUCAUGAUAUUAACUUAGAAUCAUGAGCUGAAUCAUCCCUUUCAGUAUUCGUUACGAUGUCACUAUGACAUACAAUACAAUACUAUUAUAAUAAUAAUACUACUAUAAUACUAUUAGAUAAGUACACAAACAUUAAAAUAUUGAAUAUUGAAUAAUUACAAUGUCAGAAAUUCCUUUUUAUUAUACCAAACCUUUUUUUUCAGUCUGGUAUUUAUUUGCUGGUACUCUUUACAGUUCUGGUACUUUUUAUGGGCAGCAGAUAAUCUUCAGAUGACUAAUAAGUACCUAAUUCUACCCUACUUUAUUUAUUUUAUUUUAUUUAUUUUAUUUAUUUAUUUUUUACUUAAACAAUAUCUUUACAGGUAUACCCAAUGCGAUAUCGAUACAUAAAUGCGAUUAAAUAUUUUAUAAAACAAAGUAUGAACACACACACAACAUAACAUCUAGUACCCACUGAAAUAAUUUAGAGACCGUUCUGUGAAUAAUGAAAAAAUAAAUUCGAGUAAAGAUAGGUAGUGCCCUGCUCUUGCGCUUCGUUUUGCUCGUCUUGGUUGGGGCACUCCUAUGCCCCCAGAUAAUAACCUCUCACAAAUAGGAUAAAACCCACAAAGACAGAAAGCUCGGUGUGAAAGGAGUACUCAGUUGCGAGCUUGUUUUUUUUUAAUUGAGAGAAGCGCUUUUGACAACAAUCUCACCUGAUAGUAAGUGACAAUGUAGUCGAGAAUGGGACAUGUUUAUCUAGAAAAUGGCUAUUCGUUUAGUUUGUAAUUUAUAGGUAAACAAUUUCAUCAAGCUAAGGUCUUUGCCUGUCAGUGGGAUUAAGUAGCCAUGUAUUUGUAAUGUUUAUUUCUGUUAUUUGUACGUACUUACAUCAUUUUACGCUAAUUUUAUUUUAUUUAUAUACUUACUUACUCAAUG